UACAAAAUUGUGAAUUUACCUAAUGCCACAGGGCUGUACUCUUAAUUCAUUUUGUAUUGUAUCUGUUUUUAGAAAUUGUCUAUUUCUUUGUCCACGUAGGCUAAAGUUACAUCUUCAAUAAGCCAAGUAAUAGGAACUUACUUUGCUCACCGCAGUAUGUGUGCCUGCUCCUAGAACUAUGCUCAGGAUGUGGCCGGCACAUGGUCAGUUUUUGCUGAAUGGAGGAAAGAAUUAAAUUUUGGAGCCUACACAUGGUCCCAAGAUCACGGCUAUGUUUUCAAUGGGACUUUUAAAUGCUCUUACAGAAAUGUUCAUACUGGGAAUGCCAAUGUCAGGAUGAAACAGGUGAUUUCUAAAAAAGAUGAUUUUCUUAGGAAGCCAAGACUUUCUCUACUCUCCAUCCUCAUCUCCAUGCCCCAGUUCUGAGCCUCCUCCUUUUUUCGCC
rnacentral:lncRNA from 1 species